UACAUACUGUGCGAACGUUAUUCGGAUUUACUGGGCUUAAAGGGUGCGUAGGCGGCUUGUUAAGUAGGGUGUGAAAGCCCUCAGCUCAACUGGGGAAUUGCAUUCUAUACUGGUGAGCUAGAGUGAGAUAGGGGUGUGUGGAACUGCCAGUGGAGCGGUGAAAUGUGUUGAUAUUGGCAGGAACGCCGGUGGCGAAAGCGACACACUGGGUCUCUACUGACGCUGAGGCACGAAAGCCAGGGGAGCGAACGGGAUUAGAUACCCCGGUAGUCCUGGCCGUAAACGCUGAGUACUCGUUUGGAGCGACUGCGGUCGCUGCAGACUUAGAGAAAUCGUUAAGUACUCCGCCUGGGGAGUAUGGUCGCAAGGCUG
rnacentral:rRNA from 1 species